GACGAACGCUGGCGGCGUGCCUAAUACAUGCAAGUUGAGCGCUGAAGGUUGGUACUUGUACCAAAUGGAUGAGCAGCUAACGGGUGAGUAACGCGUGGGUAAUCUGCCUUUGAGCGUGGGACAACAUUUGGAAACGAAUGCUAAUACCGCAUAAAAACUUUAAACACAAUUUUUAAGUUUGAAAGAUGCAAUUGCAUCACUCAAAGAUGAUCCCGCGUUGUAUUAGCUAGUUGGUGAGGUAAAGGCUCACCAAGGCGAUGAUACAUAGCCGACCUGAGAGGGUGAUCGGCCACACUGGGACUGAGACACGGCCCAAACUCCUACGGGAGGCAGCAGUAGGGAAUCUUCGGCAAUGGACGAAAGUCUGACCGAGCAACGCCGCGUGAGUGAAGAAGGUUUUCGGAUCGUAAAACUCUGUUGGUAGAGAAGAACGUUGGUGAGAGUGGAAAGCUCACCAAGUGACGGUAACUAACCAGAAAGGGACGGCUAACUACGUG
rnacentral:rRNA from 1 species